GAUUGAACGCUGGCGGCAUGCCUUACACAUGCAAGUCGAACGGCAGCACGGGUGCUUGCACCUGGUGGCGAGUGGCGAACGGGUGAGUAAUACAUCGGAACAUGUCCUGUAGUGGGGGAUAGCCCGGCGAAAGCCGGAUUAAUACCGCAUACGAUCUACGGAUGAAAGCGGGGGACCUUCGGGCCUCGCGCUAUAGGGUUGGCCGAUGGCUGAUUAGCUAGUUGGUGGGGUAAAGGCCUACCAAGGCGACGAUCAGUAGCUGGUCUGAGAGGACGACCAGCCACACUGGGACUGAGACACGGCCCAGACUCCUACGGGAGGCAGCAGUGGGGAAUUUUGGACAAUGGGCGAAAGCCUGAUCCAGCAAUGCCGCGUGUGUGAAGAAGGCCUUCGGGUUGUAAAGCACUUUUGUCCGGAAAGAAAUCCUUGGCUCUAAUACAGUCGGGGGAUGACGGUACCGGAAGAAUAAGCACCGGCUAACUACGUGCCAGCAGCCGCGGUAAUACGUAGGGUGCGAGCGUUAAUCGGAAUUACUGGGCGUAAAGCGUGCGCAGGCGGUUUGCUAAGACCGAUGUGAAAUCCCCGGGCUCAACCUGGGAACUGCAUUGGUGACUGGCAGGCUAGAGUAUGGCAGAGGGGGGUAGAAUUCCACGUGUAGCAGUGAAAUGCGUAGAGAUGUGGAGGAAUACCGAUGGCGAAGGCAGCCCCCUGGGCCAAUACUGACGCUCAUGCACGAAAGCGUGGGGAGCAAACAGGAUUAGAUACCCUGGUAGUCCACGCCCUAAACGAUGUCAACUAGUUGUUGGGGAUUCAUUUCCUUAGUAACGUAGCUAACGCGUGAAGUUGACCGCCUGGGGAGUACGGUCGCAAGAUUAAAACUCAAAGGAAUUGACGGGGACCCGCACAAGCGGUGGAUGAUGUGGAUUAAUUCGAUGCAACGCGAAAAACCUUACCUACCCUUGACAUGGUCGGAAUCCCGCUGAGAGGUGGGAGUGCUCGAAAGAGAACCGGCGCACAGGUGCUGCAUGGCUGUCGUCAGCUCGCGUCGUGAGAUGUUGGGUUAAGUCCCGCAACGAGCGCAACCCUUGUCCUUAGUUGCUACGCAAGAGCACUCUAAGGAGACUGCCGGUGACAAACCGGAGGAAGGUGGGGAUGACGUCAAGUCCUCAUGGCCCUUAUGGGUAGGGCUUCACACGUCAUACAAUGGUCGGAACAGAGGGUUGCCAACCCGCGAGGGGGAGCUAAUCCCAGAAAACCGAUCGUAGUCCGGAUUGCACUCUGCAACUCGAGUGCAUGAAGCUGGAAUCGCUAGUAAUCGCGGAUCAGCAUGCCGCGGUGAAUACGUUCCCGGGUCUUGUACUCACCGCC
rnacentral:rRNA from 1 species